CAGUAGCCGCGGUAAGACAGAGGAUGCAAGCGUUAUCCGGAAUGAUUGGGCGUAAAGUGUCUAUAGGUGGCUUUUCAAGUCCGCCGUCAAAUCCCAGGGCUCCACCGUGGACAGGCGGUGGAAACUACCAAGCUGGAGUACGGUAGGGGCAGAGGGAAUUUCCGAUGGAGCGGUGAAAUGCGUUGAGAUCGGAAGGAACACCUGUGGCGAAAGCGGCUCACUGGACCAUAACUGACGCUGAUGCACGAAAGCUAGGGGAGCAAACAGGAUUAGAGACCCGCGUAGUCCCUGUCUCUUAUAC
rnacentral:rRNA from 1 species